rnacentral:rRNA from 1 species
GACGAACGCUGGCGGCGUGCUUAACACAUGCAAGUCGAACGGAAAGGCCCUGCUUGCCGGGUACUCGAGUGGCGAACGGGUGAGUAACACGUGGGUGAUCUGCCCUGCACUUCGGGAUAAGCCUGGGAAACUGGGUCUAAUACCUGAUAGGAGCCAUUUUUAGUGUGAUGGUUGGAAAGUUUUUUCGGUGUAGGAUGGGCUCGCGGCCUAUCAGCUUGUUGGUGGGGUAAUGGCCUACCAAGGCGGCGACGGGUAGCCGGCCUGAGAGGGUGGACGGCCACAUUGGGACUGAGAUACGGCCCAGACUCCUACGGGAGGCAGCAGUGGGGAAUAUUGCACAAUGGGCGCAAGCCUGAUGCAGCGACGCCGCGUGGGGGAUGACGGCCUUCGGGUUGGAAACUCCUUUCGCUAGGGACGAAGCUUUUUGUGACGGUACCUAGAUAAGAAGCACCGGCUAACUACGUG